UACGUAUGGUGCAAGCGUUAUCCGGAUUUACUGGGUGUAAAGGGAGCGUAGACGGCUGUGUAAGUCUGAAGUGAAAGCCCGGGGCUCAACCCCGGGACUGCUUUGGAAACUAUGCAGCUAGAGUGUCGGAGAGGUAAGUGGAAUUCCCAGUGUAGCGGUGAAAUGCGUAGAUAUUGGGAGGAACACCAGUGGCGAAGGCGGCUUACUGGACGAUGACUGACGUUGAGGUUCGAAAGCGUGGGGAGCAAACAGG
rnacentral:rRNA from 1 species